rnacentral:rRNA from 1 species
UACGUAGGGAGCAAGCGUUAUCCGGAUUUAUUGGGUGUAAAGGGUGCGUAGACGGGAGAACAAGUUAGUUGUGAAAGCCCUCGGCUUAACUGAGGAACUGCAACUAAAACUAUUUUUCUUGAGUGCAGGAGAGGAAAGCGGAAUUCCUAGUGUAGCGGUGAAAUGCGUAGAUAUUAGGAGGAACACCAGUGGCGAAGGCGGCUUUCUGGACUGUAACUGACGUUGAGGCACGAAAGUGUGGGGAGCAAACAGGAUUAGAUACCCUGGUAGUCCACACCGUAAACGAUGGAUACUAGGUGUAGGAGAUGAUUUCAUCAUCUGUGCCGAAAGCAAACGCAAUAAGUAUCCCACCUGGGGAGUACGGCCGCAAGGUUGAA